ACCUGGCUGGCUCAGUUGGUAGAGCGUGUGACUCUUAAUCUCAAGGUUGUGAGUUUGAGCCCCACACUGGGUA
rfam:Felis catus isolate Cinnamon breed Abyssinian chromosome C1, whole genome shotgun sequence.